AACGAACGCUGGCGGCAGGCCUAACACAUGCAAGUCGAGCGAGACCUUCGGGUCUAGCGGCGGACGGGUGAGUAACGCGUGGGAAUGUGCCCUUCUCUACGGAAUAGUCCCGGGAAACUGGGUUUAAUACCGUAUACGCCCUUCGGGGGAAAGAUUUAUCGGAGAAGGAUCAGCCCGCGUCUGAUUAGGUAGUUGGUGGGGUAAUGGCCUACCAAGCCUACGAUCAGUAGCUGGUUUUAGAGGAUGAUCAGCCACACUGGGACUGAGACACGGCCCAGACUCCUACGGGAGGCAGCAGUGGGGAAUCUUAGACAAUGGGCGCAAGCCUGAUCUAGCCAUGCCGCGUGAGUGAUGAAGGCCUUAGGGUCGUAAAACUCUUUCGCCAGGGAUGAUAAUGACAGUACCUGGUAAAGAAGCCCCGGCUAACUCCGUGCCAGCCGCCGCCGUAACAC
rnacentral:rRNA from 1 species